rnacentral:rRNA from 1 species
GACUCCUACGGGAGGCAGCAGUGGGGAAUAUUGGACAAUGGGCGCAAGCCUGAUCCAGCCAUGCCGCGUGUGUGAAGAAGGCCCUAGGGUUGUAAAGCACUUUAAGCAGGAAAGAAAAGCGCCGGGUUAAUAACCCGAGCGUAUUGACGGUACCUGCAGAAUAAGCACCGGCUAACUUCGUGCCAGCAGCCGCGGUAAUACGAAGGGUGCAAGCGUUAAUCGGAAUUACUGGGCGUAAAGCGAUGCGUAGGCGGUUGCGUGUGUCGGAUGUGAAAGCCCCGGGCUCAACCUGGGAAUUGCAUUCGAAACUGCGCAACUAGAAUGUGGUAGAGGAAGACGGAAUUCCACGUGUAGCGGUGAAAUGCGUAGAUAUGUGGAGGAACACCAAUGGCGAAGGCAGUCUUCUGGGCCAACAUUGACGCUGAGGUACGAAAGCGUGGGUAGCAAACAGGAUUAGAUACCCUGGUAGUCCACGCCGUAAACGAUGAGAACUAGACGUUGGUUGACAUAGUCGGCCAGUGUCGCAGCAAACGCGUUAAGUUCUCCGCCUGGGGAGUACGGCCGCAAGGUUGAAACUCAAAGGAAUUGACGGGG